rnacentral:rRNA from 1 species
UACGUAGGGUGCAAGCGUUGUCCGGAAUUAUUGGGCGUAAAGAGCUCGUAGGCGGUCUGUCACGUCGGCUGUGAAAACCCGAGGCUCAACCUCGGGCCUGCAGUCGAUACGGGCAGACUAGAGUUCGGUAGGGGAGACUGGAAUUCCUGGUGUAGCGGUGAAAUGCGCAGAUAUCAGGAGGAACACCGGUGGCGAAGGCGGGUCUCUGGGCCGAAACUGGACGCUGAGGAGCGAAAGCGUGGGGAGCGAACAGG